GUUUUCUUUGAAUUAUCUUUGUGCAGCUUAUUGGCUCCUGGUCCUUUUAUUAUGGCGGUCGGUUCCUGUAAAGUGUGCAACCAUAGGCAAAGGUUUUUGAUGAUGAUGACGGUGAAGUGGCGUCUUCCGACGCCAUAUAAUACCCGCCGUGUGUGCCUGGUGAAUUGGGAAAAUCAAACGAGAAGAAGAGAAGAAAAUAACAAUAACAACAGACGUCUGGACUGGCUAAAUGGCAACGAGGAGAAGGAGGAGCAGCGGAAGUGGCGGUGCCUCAUUUUCUGGCGCAAUUAGCCGUUGAAAUUACCCCACAAGGAUAUAUACACUCACACACACACUCGCUGGGCACAGCAGCAAACAAACCCUUAACCACUACACGCUUCAGGCAAAAGUCCAGCAGAGUUGCACGUCUUCCUACGUUUGGUGCAGGUAUAGAGGAACAAAAAGGUGUUAAUGAUGAGUUUACGUUUGCCCAACUCGCAUAACCAACAAGGAGCUUCUGAAUGGUACAACAACAGCAUAUGUUUGUAGCCGGGGCUAAUUACGUUUACAAGACAUUUCGAUGACUUGGCGUAGUCCUCCCACCUUUAAAAAAAAUAUGGCCCAGCAUAAGAGACAGGUGACCGCAAAAGAAGCGUCCGGCGUCUACAGGAGUCAC